rnacentral:sRNA from 3 species
UGAAAGACGCGCAAAUUGUUAUCAUCCCUAAUUCUUUAAAAGAUUUUUUGUUUGGCCACCUUGUUGUGGCCAUUUUC